rnacentral:misc_RNA from 1 species
UUUCCGUAGGUGAACCUGCGGAAGGAUCAUUCAUAAUAAAGUGUUUUAUGGCACUUUUUAAAAAUCCAUAUCCACCUUGUGUGCAAUGUUAGAUCUCGUCAAUCUUGGCGAGAUUUUUAUACAUCAACUCAUUCCUUAACUAAUUUGUCUGAAAAAUAUUAUGAAUACUUAAUUCAAAAUACAACUUUCAACAACGGAUCUCUUGGCUCUCGCAUCGAUGAAGAACGCGC